rnacentral:lncRNA from 1 species
GUACUCUAGAGCGUAAGAAACAAUUCAAAGCCUAGACAAGGUCAAACAAACUCAGUCUUAUGUUUAUGAGAAUGACCAUUAACGUCAAAACUUCCCUCUCUCAAAUUGAGAUAGCAUCAUAAUUUCUGAAAUAUGUGGAAGAGUGUUUUAAACGCACGGAUAAGUCUUUUGCAGGUACAUUGAUGGCUGAAUUUACCAUCAUGAAAUAU